GAUUUUAUGGCAGAAAAAUGCAUUUAGUUUAGACCUAAAAGAUAAAAUUGAAUUUUUAAAAUCA
rnacentral:tRNA from 1 species